ACGCUGGCGGCAUGCCUAACACAUGCAAGCUCGAACGGUAACAGGUCUCCGGUAUGCUGACGAGUGGCGGACGGGUGAGUAAUGCGUAGGAAUCUGUCUUUUAGUGGGGGACAACCCAGGGAAACUUGGGCUAAUACCGCAUGAGCCCUGAGGGGGAAAGCGGGGGAUCUUCGGACCUCGCGCUAAGAGAGGAGCCUACGUCCGAUUAGCUAGUUGGCGGGGGUAAAGGCCCACCAAGGCGACGAUCGGUAGCUGGUCUGAGAGGACGACCAGCCACACUGGGACUGAGACACGGCCCAGACUCCUACGGGAGGCAGCAGUGGGGAAUUUUUCGCAAUGGGGUCAACCCUGACGAAGCAAUGCCGCGUGGAUGAAGAAGGCCUUCGGGUUGUAAAGUCCUUUCGUGGAGGACGAAAAGGUGGGUUCUAAUACAAUCUGCUAUUGACGUGAAUCCAAGAAGAAGCACCGGCUAACUCCGUGCCAGCAGCCGCGGUAAUACGGGGGGUGCAAGCGUUAAUCGGAAUCACUGGGCGUAAAGGGUGCGUAGCG
rnacentral:rRNA from 1 species